rnacentral:rRNA from 1 species
UACGUAGGGUGCAAGCGUUAAUCGGAAUUACUGGGCGUAAAGCGUGCGUAGGCGGUUGCGCAAGACAGGUGUGAAAUCCCCGGGCUUAACCUGGGAAUUGCACUUGUGACUGUGCGGCUGGAGUGCGGCAGAGGGGAGAUGGAAUUCCGCGUGUAGCAGUGAAAUGCGUAGAUAUGCGGAGGAACACCGAUGGCGAAGGCAGUCCCCUGGGCCUGCACUGACGCUCCAUGCACGAAAGCGUG